AAAGAAUCUUCAAAGUGGCUGCAGGUGGUUCCAUCGAGUCAAUUGGGAUUGUUACUGGAUAAUAACACCUCUAGAAUUGCUGUUGGUCUUCGACUAGGUUCUCAAUUAUGCGAAGAACAUAAAUGUGUUUGUGGUGAGAUUGUUGCAAAAGAUGGUUUACAUGGUCUAUCAUGUGCUAAAUGUGCAGAAGGAAAAUUCGCUAGACAUGACAGUAUGAAUAUGAUUUUCUCUCAUGGUUUUUCUAGUGCAGGUAUUCCUAACAUAAUACAGCCACCUGGUAUCUCACGAGAUGAUGGUAAAAGACCUGAUGGAGUGACUUUGAUACCAUGGAGUCAUGGUAGAUCAUUGUUGUGGGAUGUAACUGUGAGAGAUACAAUGGCUGCAUCCUAUAUUACCGAUUCAUCAAAGAAAGCACGGUCAAUUGCUGACAGAGCGGAGAGGCAUAAACAUAAUCAUUAUAUGAAAUUAAAGCAAAAUUAUUUAUUCACUCCGCUUGCUUUCGAGACAUUAGGUUGCAUGGGUCCUGAAACGAAGAAAUUUGUGGACAAAUUGGGAUCAUUAAUGAAAAAGGCAACUGGUGAGGUUAGAUCAAAGGACUAUCUUUUGCAACGAAUUUCAAUCGCUAUCCAACGUGGAAACGCUGCCUGUAUUUUGGGCACAUUAGGGAAAAGCAGGAUAGAUGAUUUUUAUUUAUUGUAAAUUUAAUUUUAGAAAAGAUCGCUUUUUUACUGGCUGCGUCAUUAUUGUGAGCAGUCUUUUUUUGCGCAUUUAAUAAAAAAAAUUGUGUACAUGUACA